GAGGAAUGUAUAGCAAUAGCUACUUGCAUCAUUGUUUCCUUAGUUUUCGUAAGGAUACUACGGAAACUGAUGAUGCAAGAUCGACUAUGUUGAAUAAAAUUCUAGGUAGAAUUAUGAUAAUGACAUUGUCUGCCUAUGUGUCUUGACUAAAUUACGUGCCAGCAGUCGCGGUAAUACGUAGAAGACUAGUGUUAUUCAUCUUUAAUAGGUUUAAAGGGUACCUAGACGGUAAAUCAAGCCUACCAUUAAAAUAAAAUAAAUGUAGGGACUAAUUUACUAGAGUUACUUAUGAGGGGGUUUAAAAGUACUGCUGGUGUAGAGAUGAAAUUCUGUCAUACCUCUUUUCAAUAGAAAAAUCACGGCACAGGUAUAGGCGAAAGCAUCCCCUUAUGUGAUAACUGACGUUGAGGGACGAAGGCUUUGUGUAGCGAACAGGAUUAGAUACCCUAGUAGUCAAAGCAGAAAAUGAUGAAUGUCAUAGAUUAGACGUAUAAGUUUAUUCUAUAAAUGAAAGUGUAAGCAUUCCACCUCAAGAGUAAUUUGGCAACAUUGGAACUGAAAUCAUUAGACCGUUUCUGAAACCAG
rnacentral:rRNA from 1 species